rnacentral:rRNA from 1 species
UACCAGACUCCUACGGGAGGCAGCAGUGGGGAAUAUUGCACAAUGGGGGAAACCCUGAUGCAGCAACGCCGCGUGAGUGAAGAAGUAUUUCGGUAUGUAAAGCUCUAUCAGCAGGGAAGAAAAUGACGGUACCUGAGUAAGAAGCCCCGGCUAACUACGUGCCAGCAGCCGCGGUAAUACGUAGGGGGCAAGCGUUAUCCGGAUUUACUGGGUGUAAAGGGAGCGUAGACGGCGAUACAAGUCUGAAGUGAAAGCCCGGGGCUCAACCCCGGGACUGCUUUGGAAACUGUGUUGCUGGAGUGCUGGAGAGGCAAGCGGAAUUCCUAGUGUAGCGGUGAAAUGCGUAGAUAUUAGGAGGAACACCAGUGGCGAAGGCGGCUUACUGGACUGUAACUGACGUUGAGGCUCGAAAGCGUGGGGAGCAAACAGGAUUAGAUACCCUGGUAUA